UUUACCCUAGUAACCCCUUUUAGUUUUGAAAAAAUUUACAAAGAAACUUCAGCAACCGCCGGAGACACUUCAGCCGCGGCGUCUGGCGGUGAGCGUGUGUGAGUGUUCUAUACAAUCAUUCGUUGAUCUGCUAUUCAGUUCAUAUUCAAACCCUUUUCUCCAUUUUCCACUUUCACAGCUCAACACUACUUCCCCCUCUAAUCAAAUGUUUACUAUACUUCGUCAUAAUCCGAUACCUUUUCUCUAUCUCAAAACCCUAACUUUCCCAUCAACCUCUAGACAUUAUUACCCUUUUCUCCAUCACUACCCAUCACCGUUUUCUCUUCAUUUCUGCACCAACACUUCCGAUUCACCAUCAUUUGCAGUCUCCUACCUCAUCCACAAUUUUGGCUUAUCCCCACUCUUUGCAAACAAACUCUGCUCCACUUACCGUCUUACAUUUAAGACUGCUCAAAAACCUGAUUCAGUUCUCGCAUUCUUUAGAAAUCAAGGUUUCUCUGAUUCCCAACUACACAACAUGAUUACAAGAACACCAGGGCUACUUUCCUGCAACCCCUCCAAAAGGGUUUUGCCAAAGUUUCAAUUUUUUCUCUCCAAAGGUGCUUCUAACUCUGACAUUGUUGACUUUUUGAGUAAGAACCCCUUGGUUUUGUCGGCAAGCCUUGAUAAUCACAUAGUCCCAACUUAUGAAUUGGUUUAUAGAUUCUUGCAAUCUGACAAGGACGCUAUUGCUUGUGCAAUUCACCAUCCAAAAUUCUUUGGUUCAAGACUUGUGCCAUGUAACAUCAGAUUGCUGAUUGAGAAUGGUGUGUCGGAAAAAACCAUUGCAAGGAUACUUCGGAACUGGUGUCGGUCAUUAUACACACAUAAUAUGCUGAAGCUUGUGGAGGAAUUAAAGGAUUUGGGGUUUAAUCCUUCACAAUCAAUUUUUGGUAUAGCAUUGCUUGCCAAAACAUCUGUAAACAAAACCUUAUGGAAAGAGAAAGUUGAUGCCUUUAAGAAAUGGGGUUGGUCUGAUCAAGAUGUUAUGGAAGCAUUUAGAAGGCAGCCUCAUUGUAUGUUAACAUCCAUUGAUAAAAUUAAUUUAGUGAUGAGUUUUUGGGUCAAUGAGUUGGGUUGGGAUGCUAUGGUCAUUGCCAAAGUACCAAGAAUAUUAGGGGCCAGUCUGGAGAGAACGAUCAUACCAAGAGUAUCUGUUAUACAAUAUCUUCAAAAGAAAGGUUUGCGAAAAAAGAAUGCAAGCUUAACUAAACCAUUGAUAGUUGGUAGUAAGCAUUUCUUUGACAGAUAUGUAAAUUGUUUUAAAGACGAGUCAUCUUAUAUAUUAAAGCUUUAUAAAGAAAAACUGAAUCAAGCACACGCCAAGGACAAAGCAGGCAUGUGAUGAACAAAUUUUCAGGUUCCAAUUGCAAUUACUUUGGAAAUUGCCAAUACCAAAAAUGCCAAUAAGUGUGGGCAUAUGCAAUUGUAAUAAUGGUUGCGGUACAAUUGUUGUGAAGAGGUCCCAAAUCUCAAUAUCAAGGCUAUACUUCAAUUAUUCAAAACACUAUGCCGAUAGCAUUAUGCAACAAUCUAUCCUUAUGGAUAUGGUAGAGUCAGGUUUGAAUAUCAUAGUUCAUAGGUUCACACAAUUUUCAUAAUCCAGAUGAAGGCUUAGGCUUUAUAUUGAUAAGUAAUUCCACUGGAUUCCUGAAUAGGUUUCCCUUGGUUCUCUACACAUCCUUAUUUCUACGGAAUAUUUAUAGUAUGUUUGGUUUGGCGCCAGAGGCACCAAUUGUGUGCUCUACCAAGCUUUCCCUGCAAUUUCACAGAAGCUAGAAAGCCAAGCUUCUACCUUGACGCGGAAAGUUUGCCGCUAUUUUGGCUAAACGUGAAAAAACACGUCAUGCAACCAAACGAGCCUUAGUGUAGUUUUCUAUUACUUAUGUACAAUGAUAUAAAAAAAAAUUGUCUUCUUGGGCCACCAAGGUUCAUUGUUUUAUUUCAUUCUUCGAUUUUCUCUUUUCUUUUGAAUAACAUAUUUUCCUUUUAAAAAAAAAUGGAAAUGGAUCCCAUUGCCAGAAGAGUGAUGAUAUUCUGCUGAAAGAGUAUGAGCAUCAUCAUCUACUUUCAUUUGAAGUUGAAUGAUAAGUUCUAUAGUAGCAUCAUGCAGCUCAUACUGCUGGAUAAGUAUAUAUAUUCAAAUAAAAGGUAUAUACCCUAGUUGAAUGAUUGUUUAAAUGUGAGUCUCCAUUUAGUUCUA